rnacentral:rRNA from 1 species
CGCGCUCUGGGAUGGAUCUGCGGCCCAUCAGCUAGUUGGUGAGGUAACGGCUCACCAAGGCUACGACGGGUAGCUGGUCUGAGAGGAUGAUCAGCCACACUGGAACUGAGACACGGUCCAGACUCCUACGGGAGGCAGCAGUGGGGAAUCUUGCGCAAUGGGCGAAAGCCUGACGCAGCGACGCCGCGUGGGUGACGAAGGCCUUCGGGUUGUAAAGCCCUGUGGGGAGGAACGAACCGUCCGGGGGCCAAUACCCUCCGGGCCUGACGGUACCUCUUUAGCAAGCAUCGGCUAACUCUGUGCCAGCAGCCGCGGUAAGACAGAGGAUGCGAACGUUGCUCGGAAUUACUGGGCGUAAAGCGCGCGUAGGUGGCCUUGUAAGUCUCGUGUGAAAGCCCUCUGCUCAACGGAGGAAGUGCACGGGAUACUGCGAGGCUGGAGUACAGAAGAGGACAGCGGAAUUCCCGGUGUAGAGGUGAAAUUCGUAGAUAUCGGGAG